rnacentral:rRNA from 2 species
AGCCUGAUGCAGCGACGCCGCGUGAGGGAUGACGGCCUUCGGGUUGUAAACCUCUUUCAGCAGGGAAGAAGCGAAAGUGACGGUACCUGCAGAAGAAGCGCCGGCUAACUACGUGCCAGCAGCCGCGGUAAUACGUAGGGCGCAAGCGUUGUCCGGAAUUAUUGGGCGUAAAGAGCUCGUAGGCGGCUUGUCACGUCGGAUGUGAAAGCCCGAGGCUUAACCUCGGGUCUGCAUUCGAUACGGGCUAGCUAGAGUGUGGUAGGGGAGAUCGGAAUUCCUGGUGUAGCGGUGAAAUGCGCAGAUAUCAGGAGGAACACCGGUGGCGAAGGCGGAUCUCUGGGCCAUUACUGACGCUGAGGAGCGAAAGCGUGGGGAGCGAACAGGAUUAGAUACCCUGGUAGUCCACGCCGUAAACGUUGGGAACUAGGUGUUGGCGACAUUCCACGUCGUCGGUGCCGCAGCUAACGCAUUAAGUUCCCCGCCUGG